AUUAUUCAAAAAACAGUUUAAGAUAAACUAAAAUCUUAAGCGAAGAGAUUAUGAUAGCUCUAAAAGACUUAACUUUAAAAUUACGCACAAAUCAGGAAAUAAUAGAUUAACAAUUUGUUCAGUUUUUCAGACACAAAAUCCAGUCGAUUUAACGUCUGUGAUAGUUCACGUUUACAAGAUAAACUAACAUGAUUUUUGUUUUCCUCUGUCAAGAUUGAAUCAGCCCUGCAUGAGGACAACACGUAAUAUUCAUGAGCAAAGAGGCCCUCUAUUGGAAGGUUAUCGAGAGAACGUCAUCACAACUAAUUAAUAUGCAUGAGGCAUUCCUUCAUUGUGACAACAGCAUUCCAAUUAUUUCAAAACAGCCCGGAGGCACACAGCACUUUAAUAAGGCAAAAGUCACCAAACACGAAACAGAUAUAAUCCAUCCAACAGACAAAACUGCAUUCAGUAGCCAGCACUCAAUCAAUCAGCAGAAACCUGUGGGAAUGAGAAAUACGACUUCAGGCAGUGGAUGUUGUGAUGCAGAUUUUCUGGCCUGAUUGAAAACAGAGACAAAUUGCAAAAGACAACAUACUGGGCCUGCCAAGCCAUGGGACAAGUGUACCAUGACAGCUGCUUCACCUGCUAUGUCUGUGGUAAGACUACAGAUCAUAUAUCAGUUCAGAUGCAUUGAAAUAUUAGAAAGGGCUGAAGACAUAUAUAUGUGAGUAUCAGUGCAACAUGGCACAGUGCUUUUUUUAUAUUACAUUGUGUAUGUGCACACUUUACAUAUUACAGAGUCCCUAAAAUAGCAUGGUAAUAAUAAAAACAAGUGAGAGGAAAAAAUUUACA
ensembl:lncRNA